CCUACGGGAGGCAGCAGUCGGGAAUAUUGGACAAUGGGCGAAAGCCUGAUCCAGCCAUGCCGCGUGUGUGAAGAAGGCCUUCGGGUUGUAAAGCACUUUCAGUGGGGAAGAAAGCCUUGGGGCUAAUACCCUCGAGGAAGGACAUCACCCACAGAAGAAGCACCGGCUAACUCCGUGCCAGCAGCCGCGGUAAUACGGAGGGUGCGAGCGUUAAUCGGAAUUACUGGGCGUAAAGCGCGCGUAGGCGGUCUGAUCAGCCGGUUGUGAAAGCCCCGGGCUCAACCUGGGAACGGCAUCCGGAACUGUCAGGCUAGAGUGCAGGAGAGGAAGGUAGAAUUCCCGGUGUAGCGGUGAAAUGCGUAGAGAUCGGGAGGAAUACCAGUGGCGAAGGCGGCCUUCUGGACUGACACUGACGCUGAGGUGCGAAAGCGUGGGUAGCAAACAGGAUUAGAUACCCUAGUAGUC
rnacentral:rRNA from 1 species